AGGGAGAGAUACACCAUCAAUCACUUUAGUGGGUGUGUGAGGUCCAUUUAUUAUGAUACUUUAUAUAUCAUAGUCAAGUACUUGGAUAAAAAUUCACAUCCGAGCUUUUCAAUAGGUGUAGUUGGAUCCAUUGAAAAGUGAAGGUCAGUUUGUGGAUUGCCCCUCGGUUAGAGAUGUGCUAAAUUGAGCUACCAUAGAUUUUGGCUCUUGAUGGUUAAAUCAAGCAAAUGCUAGAGCACUGGGCUCUGAUACCACUUGUUGUUCAGAUAUGGAGCCC
rnacentral:lncRNA from 1 species